GAUGAAGAACGUAGCGAAAUGCGAUAAGUAAUGUGAAUUGCAGAAUUCAGUGAAUCAUCGAGUCUUUGAACGCACAUUGCGCCCCCUGGUAUUCCGGGGGGCAUACCUGUCCGAGCGUCAUUGCUGCCCUCAAGCACGGCUUGUGUGUUGGGCCCCGUCCCCUCCCCCGGGGACGGGCCCGAAAGGCAGCGGCGGCACCGCGUCCGAUCCUCGAGCGUAUGGGGCUUUGUCACCCGCUCUGUAGGCCCGGCCGGCGCCAGCCGACACCCAACUUUUAUUUCUAAGGUUGACCUCGGAUCAGGUAGGGAUACCCGCUGAACUUAAGCAUAUCAAUAAGCGGAGGA
rnacentral:misc_RNA from 1 species